ensembl:misc_RNA
UUGACAGCACUGGAGAGUGAAUUCCCCUAUUAUCCACAGGAAAGUUGCAGCAUGGGGGCCUUCCUCCGCACUGCUUCAGGCCUGGCUAGUAAGUGAGAGGAGAUGUUCUCCAGAGCCUUGGUAUCUCUGCUGGA